rnacentral:lncRNA from 1 species
UUUCCCCUCUCACACACCAGAAUUUCACCCGUGUCAGCAUUCAAGUGUUAGAUGUGAAUGAUAACCCUCCUCAGUUCACAAAGGCUCAGUACUCAGCCAGUGUGAGAGUGGCAACAGCAAAGGAAGGAGAGUUUGUGCUGGCAGUGUCUGCUACUGACCCUGAUGCUGGGAACAACUCAGUCAUUUCAUACAGCUUCAUGGAUCCUUCUGAUGAUUUCCAUAUAAAUACCCUCACUGGAGAAAUCACCCUCAGCAGGAGCUUGGACCACAUCACAGCUGACACAGUUGUCACACUGACAGUUGUUGCUGCUGAUCAUGGAGUUCCCCAGCUGACAUCACAGGUCUCUGUCACUCUCUACUUGCUGGUAAAUGACACCAGCUUCGGGCUGACUUUUGAGAGCUCCAGCUACGAGUUCAGCAUUGAUGAGAACGAGCCAUCAGGGACUGCAGUGGGCUCUGUGAAGGCUCUGACUGGAAGCAUAGCUGUGCAGGUGGUGUAUUCCCUGAAAUCCCACCGGGACAAGUUCUCCGUGGGUGACCAAGGAGACAUCGUGGCCCUUGUCGGGCUCGAUCGGGAAGAAGUCGACCUGUACAGCAUCAUCGUGGAGGCUGUGGAUUCUGUGCUGCCACCCAGCACAGCUGUGGCUUUGGUAUGGAACA